UUUUCAUGUAAAUUCCUGCUUCUAAAUUUUAUUUUUCAGGGUGCUGUGUGUAAUGAUGGACUCAUGAUGUGUUUCUGCGGUUGGUGUGAGAUCUGCAGAAUGGCUAGAGAACUUAAACAUCGAUCAUAGUAAUCAUCAAGGUAUGCUUUUAAAACCAUCACCUAUCUUAUGCUCACAUACAGCCUAAUAAUUCAUAGGCUUGCUAUAACAGUAAAAAAAUAAAGGUUUUACUCACCUCUGCGCUGCUAACCUGACAGCCACUAGAGGUGGAUCUAAACAUUGCAGCUUCUCAAAAACUGCAAUAUUUUACAUUGCAGGGUUCAGAGGACAGGAAUACUGCAACCAGGCCACUUCGUUGAAGUGGAGUGGUCUCGGUGACAAUAGUGUGCACUAAAUAUUUAUAAACUGGGACCUGGCAUACAAAUAGAACAUUUAGUAUGAUAUUGAUUUUUAAGCAGAACAGCUAUAUUAAUUUUACAUUGUUUGUCUUUCAGAUUGAAGACACAACAGGAAAGAUUUUCACGUCAGAAAACGUUGCCCAACAAAGUGACAAAUUGCUGCCCCCAUUCAUAAAAUCUCAAUAAAAAUCUUUAACAAGUCCAUGUAUUUAAGUUUUCAAAUUAAUUGAUAAUAUUUACUGAAACCUCUCACCUGAAAACCAAAUUUGCAAUUUUAACGACAAAUAAGUUACGUUGGUUGAUAAAGCUGUGAAUUGUUCCAUUCUGUUAUUUCGACCUAAUUUUACUCAUUGAUUUUAAAAUCCACUUAUUAGUGAAUAAAUCACAUAGUGAAAAAUAUACCUGUG